rnacentral:lncRNA from 1 species
UCAUGUUUAGCUUCUAUUUCAAAUUACCUAUAUUAUCAUAUAAUUUUAUUCUUAAAUUGUGCUUUUCAUUUUCCAAUGGGUGGUGAUUUUGUAUUUUCUUGUUAUUCUCUCUUUAAAAAAGAUGGAACUAGACACAAUUAUUUUUUAUUAUUCAAAGAAAAAAAGGACAUGCGACUACCAUUUUAUUAAUAAAAUUAUCUUUAAUUAAGGAAAAAUAUGCGAUACUUAACCUAC